rnacentral:rRNA from 1 species
GACGAACGCUGGCGGCGUGCCUAAUACAUGCAAGUAGAACGCACAGUUUAUACCGUGGCUUGCUACACCAUAGACUGUGAGUUGCGAACGGGUGAGUAACGCGUAGGUAACCUGCCUGGUAGCGGGGGAUAACUAUUGGUAACGAUAGCUAAUACCGCAUAAUAUUAAUUAUUGCAUGAUAAUUAAUUGAAAGGUGCAAUUGCACCACUACCAGAUGGACCUGCGUUGUAUUAGCUAGUAGGUGAGGUAACGGCUCACCUAGGCGACGAUACAUAGCCGAGCUGAGAAGGAGAACGGGCAAACCGGGAACGAGACAAGGCCCAGACUCCCACGGGGAGCAGCAGUAGGGAAAUUUCGGAAAAGGACGGAAGUCUGACUGAGGAACUGCGGGUGGGGGAAGAAGGGCUUCGGGUCGGAAAGCUCUGUUGUAAGGGAAGGACGGGUGUGAGGGUGGAAAGUUCAGACUGUGACGGUAUCGUAACAGAAAGGAACGGCUAACUACGUG